GCAUUUUAAUAAAAAUAUAAAAUAUUAAAGAAAUGAAAUAACUAAAAUAUAGUUUUUGCAUAAGUAUUCAGCUUCCUGAGUCAACACAUGUUAGAAUCACCGUUGGCAACGGUUACAGCUGCCAAAAGUUUAUAAAAGCACCUGGAUUGUCAAAUAAUUUGCCCAUUAUUCUUUUCAUAAUUCUUCAAGCUCUGUUAAGAUGGUUGGGAUGAUGGCUAGACAGCUAUUUUCAAGACUUGCCAUAGAUUUUCAAGCAGAUUUCAAUCAAAACUGACUUGGCCACGAAGGAACAUUUACUGUCUUUUUGGUAAGCAAAUACAGUGUAUAUAUCAUCACCAUGCUUGAAAAUACCAUCACCGUGCUUGAAAAUACCAUCACCGUGCUUGAAAAUACCAUCACCAUGCUUGAAAUUAAGGAGGCAGUUACUCAGUGAUAUAUUGUUGGAUUUUCCCCAAACACAAGGCUUUGAUUUUAGGCCAAAAAGUGUAUUCCUUUGCCAUGUUUUUUUGCAGUAUUACUUUAGUACCCUGUUGCAUAAAAUAUGAAUGUUUUGGAAUAUUUUUACUCUGUAUUUUAUUCUUCUUUUCACUCACCUGGGUCAUUAUUGUAGUCACUACAAUGUUGUUGAUCCAUCCUCAGUUGUAUCCCAUCACAGACAUGAAACUCUGUUUUAUAAUCACCAAUGGCCUCAUGGGAACAUCCCUGAGCAGUUUCCUUUCUGUCCUGCAGCUCAGUUCAGAAAGAUGACUGUACCUUUGAUGUUUCUGGGUGAUUUAAUACAUCAUCAACAGCAUAAUUAUGAACCUGACCAUGCUUAAAGAGAUAUUCAAUGUCUGAUUUGAUAUUGUUACCCAUCUACAAUCAAUGCCCUUUAUGAGGCUUUCAAAAAGCUCCCUAGUCUUUGAAGUUGAAUUUGUACUUGAAAUUCAACGCUUGACUGAGGGACCUUACAGAUAUUGUAUGCAUGGGAGACAGAGGAAGGGUAAGACAUUUUUUUUUUAAACUGUCCAUUUUUAUUUUUUCAUACAGUGAUUCCAUUUAACCUAUGUGAUUUGUUAAGCCAAAUAUUACUCCUGAACUAAUUUAGGCCUGCCAGAACAAAGGGGCUUCAUACAUAUGCAACGACUGUAUUUUAGUUAUCAAACUUGUAUUGAUCUUUAAUGUUUAGAAUGUGGCAUUACAGAGUAUUUUGAGUAGAUUGUUGACAAAAAACGACAAUGAAAUAUAUUUUAAUCCCACUUUGUAACAAUAAAAUGUGAAGAAAUCCAAGGGGUAUGAAUACUUUUGGAAGAUAUUGAAGAUGUUUGACUGAUUAAAUUCUUGAUUGCUGUUUCUCAUAGAGUAGCUCUUUUUACAGAUGGCUUCACAGUUGAUGAAAAGGACACUCAUCAACAAAUACAUUGUGGCAGAGCCCAUCAAAAUAUUCAACAUUGAUGAUCCCCCUUGUUAUUUUGGGGAGUUUAGUUACAUUCAUUAUAGUCAUCAAAUGUUAUGACCAGAAAAUGCCCAAACAUGCAGUUAUGGACCCCAAAGUAAAAGGCUGGUUUCUUCAAGUCAUUAAGGAAACAAUGCAUCCUGUUAUGAGGAUCAUUCUUUGAACCAUGGCAUUUGGUACAGACUUUCCAGAGGCCUACAGAAACAUCCAUGAGGAGUGGGUGGAGGCGCAGACAAGGACAUCGGAUGUUGAGGGGAGAGAGUCUCCGCCAGGAAUUUACGACCUGAGAUAACAGAACCUGGGUGUUGGACAGAGUGGGAAGCUAUGGUCUAUACCCAGAAAUGGCCACAUCAUGACAUCAGUGCUGACUACAAAGAGCCACAUGACUCAGUGGUGCCGAGGAGCUUUGGGCCUGGGGUCUGAUGGGAAUGGGCCUGCUGUUCACAUGGGAUAGAGGAAGUGGGGAGCCUCUUUGACAUCAAGCAUCCGACCGUCCGACCUGCAGUGUAUUGGUUGAGUCUGUGGUUGUUUGCUUUCCCAUGAUUUAUCGUGGCAUUGUAGUUGACAGAGCAUCAUGUCAAUGGAAAUAAACAGUCAG
ensembl:lncRNA